AACGAACGCUGGCGGCAUGCCUAACACAUGCAAGUCGAGCGGUCCCUUCGGGCUUAGCGGCGGACGGGUGAGUAACGCCUGGGAAUAUGCCCUUCUCUACCGUGUCGUCCUGGUAAACUUAGGGUCAUACCGUAUACGCCCUUAGUGGGUAAGCUUUAUCGGGGAAGGAUUAGUCCGCGUUGGAUUAGGUAGUUGGUGGGGUAAUGGCCUACCCAGCCGACGAUCCAUAGCUGGUUUGAGAGGAUGAUCAGCCACACUGGGACUGAGACACGGCCCAGACUCCUACGGGAGGCAGCAGUGGGGAAUCUUAGACAAUGGGGGCGACCCUGAUCGAGCCAUGCCGCGUGAGUGAUGAAGGCCUUAGGGUUGUAAAGCUCUUUCAGCUGGGAAGAUAAUGACGGUACCAGCAGAAGAAGCCCCGGCUAACUCCGUG
rnacentral:rRNA from 1 species